CGCCUCGGUCGCUGCCGUGCAUUUCGUUGUAUCGAAAAAAGUUUGUGCUGUUCGUAACAAGUUUGACGCAACACUGGUGAAAUAAUCGAUUGUACUCACCGCCAAUCAUGGGCAACAACGGGAGGCGCGCGUUAUGCCUGGAGUGUAAAUAUUAUGCGGCAGAGAGGGUGCCAAGCGUACGAAGAAAAAAUGACGAAGGGUUAUGGAAGCGGCGCGACACCGGUUUGCACGAUAUACGUCGAAACAAAGAGAAAACAGUUCUCGAGAUCCUGUUGCCGCCGACGUCACUACUCCCGCUACCUAAUCCCUAUACUGCGAAUGUGUCGAGCGGAAGGCCGGAAAAUUAAGGCCAGAAAGAGACGUCCUGGCAUGCGCACCAUCGUAGUAUCUCAACCCCGUCUGAAAAAUCACUCCCUGUUGCGUCGGGAUGCGCCCGCCUUCUUUCUCCUCUUCGCCCAAACAAUACUUUUUGCCAAUUUUAGCCUGAACCCUUUGUCGCCAAAAUGUCACAAAUUACAGUUCGUGAAUUGCCUUUUUCUUCUUUCUGAACAUAUCAACGUCGCAUUUUUUCAUCGUUUGUCAUACUUCGAGUGCCGGAAAUGAAACGUAAAGUGGCCAAUUAUUUACAAAUUGUAUCGCGUUCUCUAACCUCUAUUAUUCAAUGUGAGAAUCUAAGCCGCCAGGUGAACGCCGGAGUGAAAAAUUAUCAGAAAAAUCGAUCCACGUGUCCUCGUACAUGACUUGGCGUCGUUCGAUUGCCAGAAGAUAAUGAAAUCAGGAAAACGCUGAAUCUUUUUUUGUACGUAGCGAGCUAUUUUCGUUCAUGUUUGUCCUUAAAUCAGUGCCUAUCGCUAUAUUUAAAAAAGCAUCGAUCGAGUGAGUUAUUUCUCGGUGAUCCUGCUGCGCCCCCGCUCUUGCAGUGAUGUUUUCAUUUCGUCCAACAGGAAUAAAUAACAUUUGCCAGAUUUUUGCGCCAAUUUUUCUCAUGCUCCACAAUCCGGAAAACCGAAAUAAAUGCACAUCAUCGAAAGCAA